GACGAACGCUGGCGGCAGGCUUAACACAUGCAAGUCGAGCGCGCGCCUUCGGGCGUGAGCGGCGGACGGGUGAGUAACGCGUGGGAACGUGCCCUUUGGUUCGGAAUAGCCCUGGGAAACUGGGAGUAAUGCCGAAUAAGCUCUACGGAGGAAAGAUUUAUCGCCAAAGGAUCGGCCCGCGUUGGAUUAGGUAGUUGGUGGGGUAAUGGCCUACCAAGCCGACGAUCCAUAGCUGGUUUGAGAGGAUGAUCAGCCACACUGGGACUGAGACACGGCCCAGACUCCUACGGGAGGCAGCAGUGGGGAAUCUUGGACAAUGGGGGCAACCCUGAUCCAGCCAUGCCGCGUGAUCGAUGAAGGCCUUAGGGUUGUAAAGAUCUUUCAGCUGGGAAGAUAAUGACGGUACCAGCAGAAGAAGCCCCGGCUAACUCCGUGCCAGCCGCCGCGGUAACAC
rnacentral:rRNA from 1 species